CACAGCCUGGGGUAAGAGCAGACCACGAGAAGUGCACUGUAGUCCAGCUCCCGAUGGCUACGAUUAUAAAAUUAAAUGUUAUAACUUGCAUUAUGGCUGUAAAUCUCCAUGGCUGGCCAUUUCUUCCUGCUGCCAGGCCCCUUGGCACAGCUGACACUGUCUCAAAUUCCAGACCAGAAGAAAAGGGCCCACUAUAUUGCAGUGAUUUUAUCAUUAACGAGACCUGUUUGGCUCCAAAAUGAGGAAAAAUACUUAAGCAUAAUAUUUGCGUAGUUCACAUGCAACGCCCCCUCCUGUCAUGUGUCACCAAGGCGAAUGUGGACUCUGAUUCAGCGCUCCAGCCCACAACAGGGGACUUGAACGCAAACAGCCUGAGUCACGCAGGUCAGCACACAUGUGGGAGGCCUGUUCUCGGCUGAGUAUUUUAAGCGCCGGCUUUGUGGAUGAAAGGCCAUGGGGCCAGGUCUUGGAGCAACUCCCAUCAUCCCUUUCCCUCAGAAGUAUGAAAAUGUCUUUUUUCUAGAACGCCCUGUGUUGGUCAGUCAUGGUGUGACUCAGUGCCUCUGGAUGAAGCCUUCCUUAGCUCCUUCCUCCUCUUAUCUCUGCCAUAGAUCCUUGGCUUCCUGAUGAUCAAACUGAAGAAUCUGCAGUUUUCUUGCAGAAAAACAAACCAUUCCAAUGGAACAACCAUUCAAAACAUAAUAACUCAGCCCUUUAACCUCCUACCACAGUCUAAUGCCUGGCAUUACGAGUUAGGGGAAAGAAGAAGGCAGGACAAAUGAUUGUGGAGAGCUGUCUGCCUCAGAAAUAAUGCCAGUCGGCAAAGGCUGCUGGCAGGUUUUGUGUUCAUUUCAAAACUUCACAUUCCUCAGGCACUUAGUGGCAUUUUUGAAGAACACUGUUUCAAGGACAGGGGAGUGAUGUGAGUGAGGUCAUUCUGAAUACACAGCACUUGAUGUGGUAGAGUCCACAAUCAGCCUGGGAAGAAAGGCUCUUGCCAGUUGUGUCUCUCUUAGCCAGCAAGCGUGGGGACCUGUGCCACGGAGACACCCAGCAGGAAUCACCAUUUCAGCAUCCCAAGGCUGAGUCCAGAGGGAGUGGGACAUAAACCCACCUCAAAAUUUGCUAGGAAGUUGUCAGAGGCUGCACCUGGGAAGAAAGCCACUCUGCGGACCACUCAUCCAGGCUCUCACUUCCCAGCUUCUUGUCUGGGUUGGAAAACAAUGAUACGUUCACCCUGAAUGCCCACCUUUUCCAUCAGUGGCAGGAGGCACAUACGUCCUAGGCAAGACCUGGGGGCCAGGAGAAGAUCUUGGAGGUGCACACACACUGCCUGCGUAAGCACGUGACCAGCACUGCGGCUCUCCACACUGGCCUCCUAACCUCCCUGCAGGAAUCUCAGUUCGCCUCCUGCAGCAGCAGAUCUCACGCAUAAUUGACAGACACUGAGCAUGUUUGGACAAGACAGAGAUGCCAACUGAAGUUCUAGGCUGGCCUGGCAAAGCCCUUGCCAGGGCACCCUGGCCACUCACAGCUCCUGAGUACUCACUAGUACAAAAGUCAACCGCAGCUAGUUGUUUUGAACAGAACAUGGGCCUCCCUCACACACAAGGUUUUUGGUUGUUUGUGGCAUGACAUCCUCAUUCAGGCAUCAGGCUCACUUCUGUGCACUGUUGUCCACGUGCCAGAAGCAGCACCUGCUGAGAAGGGGCAUCUGUGAGGAGGGAGGCCUCUUCUACCAGUUACCUGAAUGGGUGAGUGACUGCCUAGACUCCCAAAGAGCCGCAGCAUGGUGAUGAAGAUGCUGGUCCACUGUCUGCCAGCUGCCGCGGAGAGAUAUAGUAAAGCUACUGUAUAGGAUUUUGAAAGCGGGGCCUCCAAGAGCUUUCCAAACUCCAUACAAGCCAGUUAUUCUCUGCCUUGUUUUCUUUGGCUUCAGAUGAGGAACCUGAGGGUCUAAGAGGACACACGAGCUGCUGAAAUUCACUGAGCGAGGCAGGGCCAGACAGAGACUCCACUGGCAGGCCCGCAGGCUUUCCACCAGACCAGGCCGCUCCCUCGCCCAGGGCUCAAGAUUCCUUUUAGAGUUCAACAGAGCAGCUCCCGAGAACAGACUGGCCCUCAAGACUCAAAUUUCAGUGGUUUCCAGUUCUUUCUCCCUGCACUCGGCUACCUAUUUAUUUUGAGACUGGCUGAAUCACCCGAAGAAUAGAACGGGUUUCUCUGAAGCUGCUCCCGGCAGCAUGUCAGCAAAUGAACAGGACAGCGAGCUGGCCUCUGGAGCCUUGGAAGAUUCUCACCUCCAAGCAGCUGCAGUUUUUGACUCGUCCUGGGAAACUGGCACUGAGACUCAGGGGUGUAAGAUUUCACCUCCCUGAAAUCAAAUCCAGAAAUCGCAGGCGCGGAGCGUAUAUAAAAAGCCACAGGGGAAAAAGGGAAUACGGACUCAGCAACUCUUAGGCGCUCGAGCCUCUUCCCAAACCUUCUGGUUCUGUGAGCAUUUCAUUGAAAGAAACUGGAAUAACAGAGUUUUAGAAGAAAAACUGUAUUUGGUCUUGUAAGAGAAAAGUAUAUUCAAAUAAAACUGAGUUCUCAAUUAUU